rnacentral:lncRNA from 1 species
UCGAGGUCGUCCGAAACUUUGUCUGUGAUGAAGAGGCGAUGCUCUCCUUUUCUGUACUUUCUGUACUUUUCUGAACCUCCUUUCAAUGAGUCUGACGUCUUCUAUUUAUAGUGACGUACGUUUUGUCUUCUAGCGAAAUCACCAAUUGUUGCUUAAUGGGCCGGACCUGAUUUUGGGUUUAGCUCUUAAUGGGUCUGUGCUAAGCCCAUCUCCAACAAUUGUCCCCCCAUAGUUCGCCAAGUGUUGAAUCUUGGUGAAUUCUUCUAGAAUCUUCUGUCUGAGAAAAUCAGGGCAGGCUCAGGAAUUGUCGAGAAAUAGGGCAACACGUUUUUUUUU